rnacentral:lncRNA from 1 species
AUUUAUAAGAAUAUAACUUGUAAAUAUUAAUAUUUUUACAAGUGUUGAUUAUUUUAGGUUGUUUUUAAAUGUUUUUAAUUUGGCAUUUUAAGGGGAAGUAACUUUAAAACAGUGCAUUUUCUGAAGGAUUCUACAUGGAAUUUUCCUAUUUUGUAUUUUAGCCGGAAAAAAUGUACAGUGACCCUAUCUUUUCUUUUGAUAUUCUCAAAGCAUUGUCUGAAAGCUAUCUUUUCCUAAUUUAUUUUACAAUUCUAUCAUUUUGUUUAAUUUCUAACCUCAAAAUGGUGUUUUUUCCUGUAUAAUCCAUACAAAAUGUGUCAUUUUGUCACAACCUGUAGCUUGAGAAAAUGCACGGUG